rnacentral:rRNA from 1 species
AUUGAACGCUGGCGGCAUGCCUUACACAUGCAAGUCGAACGGUAACAGGUCUUCGGAUGCUGACGAGUGGCGAACGGGUGAGUAAUACAUCGGAACGUGCCCGAGAGUGGGGGAUGACGAGGCGUAAGCUUUGCUAAUACCGCAUACGAUCUCAGGAUGAAAGCAGGGGACCGAAAGGCCUUGCGCUCACGGAGCGGCCGAUGGCAGAUUAGGUAGUUGGUGGGAUAAAAGCUUACCAAGCCGACGAUCUGUAGCUGGUCUGAGAGGACGACCAGCCACACUGGGACUGAGACACGGCCCAGACUCCUACGGGAGGCAGCAGUGGGGAAUUUUGGACAAUGGGCGCAAGCCUGAUCCAGCCAUGCCGCGUGCAGGAUGAAGGCCUUCGGGUUGUAAACUGCUUUUGUACGGAACGAAAAGACUCUGGUUAAUACCUGGGGUCCAUGACGGUACCGUAAGAAUAAGCACCGGCUAACUACGUGCCAGCCGCCGCUGUAAGAC